rnacentral:rRNA from 1 species
GCCUGCAGCCACGCCACCCUGAACGAGCCCGAUCCCGUCUGAUCUCGGAAGCUAAGCAGGGUCGGGCCUGGUCGGUCCUUGGCUGGGAGGCCACCUAGGAAGACCAGGUGCUGUAGGUG